UUUAAAGGUAGUGUUUUAUAUAUAUUCUGAUGUUAUUUUAUUUUUAUGGCUGAAUAGGACCUUUAAAGGUAGUGUUUUAUAUAUAUUCUGAUGUUAUUUUAUUUUUAUGGCUGAAAAGGACCUUUAAAGGUAGUGUGUUAUAUAUAAUUUGCCUCCACAGCAACAUCAACACCUGAAUACUUUCACAUACACACCAGAGGAGGCUGGUGGAGGAGCAAUAGGAGGACAGGCUCAGUGUAAAGACUGGAAUGGAAUAAAUGGAACAUCAAACACUUCAUUAAUUUAUUCC
ensembl:lncRNA